UAGGGAAUCUUCCACAAUGGACGCAAGUCUGAUGGAGCAACGCCGCGUGAGUGAAGAAGGUCUUCGGAUCGUAAAGCUCUGUUGUUGGUGAAGAAGGAUAGAGGCAGUAACUGGUCUUUAUUUGACGGUAAUCAACCAGAAAGUCACGGCUAACUACGUGCCAGCAGCCGCGGUAAUACGUAGGUGGCAAGCAUUGUCCGGAUUUAUUGGGCGUAAAGCGAGCGCAGGCGGAAUGAUAAGUCUGAUGUGAAAGCCCACGGCUCAACCGUGGAACUGCAUCGGAAACUGUCAUUCUUGAGUGCAGAAGAGGAGAGUGGAACUCCAUGUGUAGCGGUGGAAUGCGUAGAUAUAUGGAAGAACACCAGUGGCGAAGGCGGCUCUCUGGUCUGCAACUGACGCUGAGGCUCGAAAGCAUGGGUAGCGAACAGGAUUAGAUACCCUGGUAGUCCAUGCCGUAAACGAUGAGCGCUAGGUGUUGGGGACUUUCCGGUCCUCAGUGCCGCAGCAAACGCAUUAAGCGCUCCGCCUGGGGAGUACGACCGCAAGGUUGAAAC
rnacentral:rRNA from 1 species